rnacentral:rRNA from 1 species
GUCUAUGAUUAUGAUAGUCUGACCUGCCCUAUGUUUAAGGUUAAUGGCCGCGGUAUUUUGACCGUGCGAAGGUAGCAUAAUAAAUAGUCUAUUAAAUGUAGUCUGGAAUGAAUGGUUUGACGGGGAGUAGCUUUUUUAAUUUUAUUUUUGAAUUUUAAUUAUUAGUGAAAAUGCUAAUAUGAUUUAGGGGGACGAGAAGACCCUAUAGAGCUUUAUAUAUACUAAAAUUGUGGUGGUAUUAGAAUUUUAAAUUAUAUUUUGUUGGGGCGACAAUAAAUUGGAAUCAUUUAUUUAUUAGGCUAUUUUAAUAGAGUGUUAGAUCCAUUAAUAGUGAUUAUUAGACUUAGUUACCUUAGGGAUAACAGCGUAAUUUUAUUUUAGAGUUCUUAUCGAUAAUAAAGUUUGCGACCUCGAUGUUGGAUUAAGAUUCUUUUAGGGUGUAGCUGUUCUAAUAAGUAGUCUGUUCGACUAUUUAAAUCUUACAUGAUCAUUUCCCAAAACCGGGGGAA